CAGCCGCCGCGGGAAUACGUAGGGUGCGAGCGUUAAUCGGAAUUACUGGGCGUAAAGCGUGCGCAGGCGGUUUUGUAAGACAGGCGUGAAAUCCCCGGGCUCAACCUGGGAAUGGCGCUUGUGACUGCAAAGCUAGAGUGCGGCAGAGGGGGAUGGAAUUCCGCGUGUAGCAGUGAAAUGCGUAGAGAUGUGGAGGAACACCGAUGGCGAAGGCAGCCCCCUGGGCCAAUACUGACGCUCAUGCACGAAAGCGUGGGGAGCAAACAGGAUUAGAUACCCGAGUAGUCCCUGUCUCUUAUAA
rnacentral:rRNA from 1 species